CUCCUGCUCAGCUCCUGGGGCUCCUGCUGCUCUGCCUCACAGGUGCCAAAUGUGACAUUAUAAUGACCCAGUCUCCAGCCUCCCUGUCUAAAUCUCAAGGA